rnacentral:rRNA from 1 species
AUUGAACGCUGGCGGCAUGCCUUACACAUGCAAGUCGAACGGCAGCGGGGACUUGGGUCCGCCGGCGAGUGGCGAACGGGAGAGUAGUGUAGCGGAACGUACCACUCAGUGGGGGAUAACUAACCGAAAGGAUGGCUAAUACCGCAUAUUCUGUGAACAGGAAAGCAGGGUGUCGCAAGAACUUGCGGUGUUUGAGGGGCCGAUAUCAGAUUAGCUAGUUGGUGAGGUAACGGCUCACCAAGGCUACGAUCUGUAGCGGGUCUGAGAGGAUGAUCCGCCACACUGGGACUGAGACACGGCCCAGACUCCUACGGGAGGCAGCAGUGGGGAAUUUUGGACAAUGGGCGCAAGCCUGAUCCAGCCAUGCCGCGUGAGUGAAGAAGGCCUUCGGGUUGUAAAGCUCUUUCGGCCGGGAAGAAAUCGCAUCAGCUAAUACCUGGUGUGGAUGACGGUACCGGAAUAAGAAGCACCGGCUAACUACGUGCCAGCAGCCGCGGUAAAAC